GUAUUAAAUUUUGACCAGUAAAGGCCUUUAUUAGACAUUCUAAUAAACUUGUGUGUGUAAAAAUAACAUAGACUCAGACUGUAACAUCUGGCCUACAAUGAGUUCACAGGUGAGAUGAAAAGGCGGAGUGCACAUGCCCCGAAAGGCCAGCAACAUCCUAAGGAUUUCAAUAAUGAUCCUUCCGCAGGUUCACCUACGGAAA
rnacentral:misc_RNA from 1 species